rnacentral:rRNA from 1 species
UACGGAGGAGGCAAGCGUUAUCCGGAAUUAUUGGGCGUAAAGCGUCCGUAGGUGGCUCUUCAAGUCUGCUGUCAAAGCGUGGGGCUUAACCCUGCAAAGGCAGUGGAAACUGAAAGGCUAGAGAGCCGUAGGGGUAGAGGGAAUUCCCGGUGUAGCGGUGAAAUGCGCAGAUAUCGGGAGGAACACCGGUGGCGAAGGCGGUUCUCUGGGCCUUACCUGACGCUGAGGAGCGAAAGCGUGGGGAGCAAACAGG